ACAGGUGCUGCAUGGCCGUCGUCAGCUCGUGCCGUGAGGUGUUGGGUUAAGUCCGCAACGAGCGCAACCCCUACGUUUAGUUGCUAACGCGUGAAGGCGAGCACUCUAGACGAACUGCCGUUGACAAAACGGAGGAAGGUGGGAUGACGUCAAAUCAUCAUGCCCUUAUGUUCUGGGCUACACACGUGCUACAAUGGCCGGUACAGACGGACGCAAAGCCGCGAGGUGGAGCAAAUCCUAAAAAGCCGGUCUCAGUCCGGAUUGCAGGCUGCAAUUCGCCUGCAUGAAGUCGGAAUCGCUAGUAAUCGCGGAUCAGCAUGUCGCGGUGAAUACGUUCCCGGGUCUU
rnacentral:rRNA from 1 species